UACAUAGGGUGCGAGCGUUAUUCGGAAUUACUGGGCGUAAAGCGCGCGUAGGCGGCUUUUCAAGUCGAUUGUGAAAUCCCCGGGCUUAACCUGGGAACUGCAGUCGAGACUGUCUAGCUAGAGUAUGGGAGAGGGAAGUGGAAUUUCAGGUGUAGCGGUGAAAUGCGUAGAUAUCUGAAGGAACAUCAGUGGCGAAAGCGACUUCCUGGACCAAUACUGACGCUCAUGUGCGAAAGCGUGGGGAGCAAACAGG
rnacentral:rRNA from 1 species